GGGCUCCUCUUCAUCUUGGUAUGAGUUUACUUUUUGGCUCUCUUUACUCUCGCAUCCUGCCUCUCGCUCACUCUCUUCUCUUACAAGUCACGAAUAGAAAGAGGAAAAGGUCGAGGAGGAUGAGGAUGAGGGAUUCGAUGAUGAGCAUGGGAAGAAGCAGAGUAUAAGCAAAAGCAUUCCAGAAUAUGAUAUUGCUAUCGUUGGAGGUGGCAUGGUUGGCAUGGCUUUAGCUUGUUUCUUAGUUUCAGGGCCUGAUUGCUAUCCUUGGAGGGGCUAUGUUUGGUUAACUAUUUGUGUGGCAGCUUGAUGAGUUUCUUUUUUUCUUUUCUGUCAUGGGAAUUGAACCUGGUUAACUAUAUUGGAUUACAUCAUGGGCUGGGUAUUAAGUUGCAGCAGUGAAACACGUAUAAUUCUAUUGUGCUCUCAUGUCCAAAGACUAUGUUUGCUUCUGUUGGUGGCAGAUACUUUUGGGGGCUUGUUACUGAUGCAGUUAGGGUUUUUUGGUGGAUGAGAGUAUGAAUGAUGGAAGAAAGGAUGCAACAACUACCAAUGCCAACCCCAAAUCAAGAGGAGUUAGAAACUGAUGAGUCAGAGAAUGAGGAGGAUCUUGGUGCUUUUCCAUGAAAACUUUGUCAAGCUUUGUUUCUAUAUUUAAUGUAAUAGACUAUGUUUAAUGUAAUAGUAAUCUACUAGACUAGUUUAAGUAGUUCAUGGUAUACUUUUUGUGAUGAUUCAGUGAUGAAUUUAGGUGGAUAUGUUAAGAUUGUGUGUUUUGUGAUGAUUCAAUGAUGAUUAUGGUUA